rnacentral:rRNA from 1 species
GGGUUGUGAGGUUAAGCGACUAAGCGUACACGGUGGAUGCCCUGGCAGUCAGAGGCGAUGAAGGGCGUGCUAAUCUGCGAUAAGCGCCGGUAAGGUGAUAUGAACCGUUAUAACCGGCGAUACCCGAAUGGGGAAACCCAGUGUGAUUCGUCACACUAUCAUUAACUGAAUCCAUAGGUUAAUGAGGCGAACCGGGGGAACUGAAACAUCUAAGUACCCCGAGGAAAAGAAAUCAACCGAGAUUCCCCCAGUAGCGGCGAGCGAACGGGGAGGAGCCCAGAGCCUGAAUCAGCAUGUGUGUUAGUGGAAGCGUCUGGAAAGGCGCGCGAUACAGGGUGACAGCCCCGUACACAAAAGCGCAUGUGCUGUGAGCUCGAUGAGUAGGGCGGGACACGUGGUAUCCUGUCUGAAUAUGGGGGGACCAUCCUCCAAGGCUAAAUACUCCUGACUGACCGAUAGUGAACCAGUACCGUGAGGGAAAGGCGAAAAGAACCCCGGCGAGGGGAGUGAAAAAGAACCUGAAACCGUGUACGUACAAGCAGUGGGAGCACCCUUUGGGUGUGACUGCGUACCUUUUGUAUAAUGGGUCAGCGACUUAUAUUCUGUAGCAAGGUUAACCGAAUAGGGGAGCCGGAGGGAAACCGAGUCUUAAUUGGGCGUUAAGUUGCAGGGUAUAGACCCGAAACCCGGUGAUCUAGCCAUGGGCAGGUUGAAGGUUGGGUAACACUAACUGGAGGACCGAACCGACUAAUGUUGAAAAAUUAGCGGAUGACCUGUGGCUGGGGGUGAAAGGCCAAUCAAACCGGGAGAUAGCUGGUUCUCCCCGAAAGCUAUUUAGGUAGCGCCUCGUGAAUUCAUCUCCGGGGGUAGAGCACUGUUUCGGCUAGGGGGCCAUCCCGGCUUACCAACCCGAUGCAAACUGCGAAUACCGGAGAAUGUUAUCACGGGAGACACACGGCGGGUGCUAACGUCCGUCGUGAAGAGGGAAACAACCCAGACCGCCAGCUAAGGUCCCAAAGUCAUGGUUAAGUGGGAAACGAUGUGGGAAGGCCCAGACAGCCAGGAUGUUGGCUUAGAAGCAGCCAUCAUUUAAAGAAAGCGUAAUAGCUCACUGGUCGAGUCGGCCUGCGCGGAAGAUGUAACGGGGCUAAACCAUGCACCGAAGCUGCGGCAGCGACACUGUGUGUUGUUGGGUAGGGGAGCGUUCUGUAAGCCUGCGAAGGUGGCCUGUGAGGGUUGCUGGAGGUAUCAGAAGUGCGAAUGCUGACAUAAGUAACGAUAAAGCGGGUGAAAAGCCCGCUCGCCGGAAGACCAAGGGUUCCUGUCCAACGUUAAUCGGGGCAGGGUGAGUCGACCCCUAAGGCGAGGCCGAAAGGCGUAGUCGAUGGGAAACGGGUUAAUAUUCCCGUACUUGGUGUUACUGCGAAGGGGGGACGGAGAAGGCUAUGUUGGCCGGGCGACGGUUGUCCCGGUUUAAGCGUGUAGGUGUGUGUUCCAGGUAAAUCCGGUUCACUUUAACACUGAGGCGUGACGACGAGGCACUACGGUGCUGAAGCAACAAAUGCCCUGCUUCCAGGAAAAGCCUCUAAGCAUCAGGUAACAUCAAAUCGUACCCCAAACCGACACAGGUGGUCAGGUAGAGAAUACCAAGGCGCUUGAGAGAACUCGGGUGAAGGAACUAGGCAAAAUGGUGCCGUAACUUCGGGAGAAGGCACGCUGACACGUAGGUGAAGUGAUUUACUCAUGGAGCUGAAGUCAGUCGAAGAUACCAGCUGGCUGCAACUGUUUAUUAAAAACACAGCACUGUGCAAACACGAAAGUGGACGUAUACGGUGUGACGCCUGCCCGGUGCCGGAAGGUUAAUUGAUGGGGUCAGCGCAAGCGAAGCUCCUGAUCGAAGCCCCGGUAAACGGCGGCCGUAACUAUAACGGUCCUAAGGUAGCGAAAUUCCUUGUCGGGUAAGUUCCGACCUGCACGAAUGGCGUAAUGAUGGCCAGGCUGUCUCCACCCGAGACUCAGUGAAAUUGAACUCGCUGUGAAGAUGCAGUGUACCCGCGGCAAGACGGAAAGACCCCGUGAACCUUUACUAUAGCUUGACACUGAACAUUGAGCCUUGAUGUGUAGGAUAGGUGGGAGGCUUUGAAGUGUGGACGCCAGUCUGCAUGGAGCCGACCUUGAAAUACCACCCUUUAAUGUUUGAUGUUCUAACGUGGACCCGUUACCCGGGUUGCGGACAGUGUCUGGUGGGUAGUUUGACUGGGGCGGUCUCCUCCUAAAGAGUAACGGAGGAGCACGAAGGUUGGCUAAUCCUGGUCGGACAUCAGGAGGUUAGUGCAAUGGCAUAAGCCAGCUUGACUGCGAGCGUGACGGCGCGAGCAGGUGCGAAAGCAGGUCAUAGUGAUCCGGUGGUUCUGAAUGGAAGGGCCAUCGCUCAACGGAUAAAAGGUACUCCGGGGAUAACAGGCUGAUACCGCCCAAGAGUUCAUAUCGACGGCGGUGUUUGGCACCUCGAUGUCGGCUCAUCACAUCUGGGGCUGAAGUAGGUCCCAAGGGUAUGGCUGUUCGCCAUUUAAAGUGGUACGCGAGCUGGGUUUAGAACGUCGUGAGACAGUUCGGUCCCUAUCUGCCGUGGGCGCUGGAGAACUGAGGGGGGCUGCUCCUAGUACGAGAGGACCGGAGUGGACGCAUCACUGGUGUUCGGGUUGUCAUGCCAAUGGCACUGCCCGGUAGCUAAAUGCGGAAGAGAUAAGUGCUGAAAGCAUCUAAGCACGAAACUUGCCCCGAGAUGAGUUCUCCCUGAGACUUUAGGUCUCCUGAAGGAACGUUGAAGACGACGACGUUGAUAGGCCGGGUGUGUAAGCGCAGCGAUGCGUUGAGCUAACCGGUACUAAUGAACCGUGAGGCUUAACCUUACAACGCCGAAG